rnacentral:misc_RNA from 1 species
UCUUGGUUUCUCUUCCCCUCGCUACGAUCCUCUAUGUUUCUUUUCGUCUCUGCUCCUUUCUUCUCGCGCCAUCGUCUUUCAUCGCCCCUUUUUGCUCAGCAGUCGCGAAAAAGAUCCGUUUGCUCGCGUGCGAAAAUCACGCACGAUGACAGUGUGCACGCGAAACGCAUCGCCACUUUGGUAUUCCCAAACAACGCUUCUCGCGAGAAUUGUUCCUCGACUUAGGAAGACGGGAUGUAACGUCAACGCACUGACUGGCGGACCGCAUUUAGAUUCCGAUGAAUUUUCUAUCAGUUGGCUUUGCUUUUUAAACGAGUUACGUAUCCGCGAACGAGAAGAUCUGCAAUCAUCAAUCUCACGGCAGCGGCCGUGGCAUCCAAAGUACAUUUAUUAAUUGAAAG